rnacentral:tRNA from 1 species
GCCGGUUUAGCUCAGCGGUAGAGCGCUCCCCUUGUAAGGGAGAUGUCGUGGGUUCAAAUCCUAUAACCGGCU